rnacentral:rRNA from 1 species
AAAUGAAUAGACGGGGGCCCGCACAAGCGGUGGAGCAUGUGGCUUAAUUCGAUGCAACGCGAAGAACCUUACCUGGGUUUGACAUGCAGAGUUCAGUCCCUGAAAGGGGAUGGCUGCUGCAAAGUAGCGAUCUGCACAGGUGCUGCAUGGCUGUCGUCAGCUCGUGCCGUGAGGUGUUAGGUUAAGUCCUGCAACGAGCGCAACCCCUAUGAUUAGUUGCUAACCCGCCAGCAAUGGCGGAAGGACUCUAGUCAGACUGCCCGUGAUAAGCGGGAGGAAGGUGGGGAUGACGUCAAGUCAGUAUGGUCCUUAUGCCCAGGGCUGCACACGUGCUACAAUGGCUGGUACAGAAGGAAGCGAGACCGCGAGGUGGAGCCAAUCCCCAAAACCAGCCCCAGUUCGGAUUGAAGUCUGCAACUCGACUUCAUGAAGCCGGAAUCGCUAGUAAAGGCGUAUCAGCUACGGCGCCUUGAAUACGUUCCCGGGCCUUGUACACACCGCCCGU